rnacentral:rRNA from 1 species
UACGGAGGGUGCAAGCGUUAUCCGGAUUCACUGGGUUUAAAGGGUGCGUAGGCGGCUUCUUAAGUCAGUGGUGAAAGCCCGCAGCUUAACUGUGGAAUAGCCAUUGAAACUGAGGGGCUUGAGUGCAACUGAAGUGGGCGGAAUACAUCAUGUAGCGGUGAAAUGCUUAGAUAUGAUGUAGAACACCGAUUGCGAAGGCAGCUCACUAAGUUGUAACUGACGCUGAGGCACGAAAGCGUGGGUAGCGAACAGG